AAGGGAGACCUAAUUCAGGUAUGGGACGAAAAAAAAGUAGUCGCUACCAAGAAUCAAUCCCAAAAGGUCGGAGCGAGGUAUGAGGCUUUCAAACUAGGUUCUGGGUUCAAACAAGACCUGAAUCGGGAACAAGGGCUAUUAGCUCAGGUGGUUAGAGCGCACCCCUGAUAAGGGUGAGGUCCCUGGUUCGAGUCCAGGAUGGCCCACCUGCACAGGUGGCAAAAACAAGAGAAGCGAGGGAUCAGCACCUUAUCUUAUCUAUAUAUAAGAGAGAAUGCUGGCUCUGAGUAAAGAGUCCAGAGGAACCUUGAAAACUGCAUAGAGCUAGGUGAAAAAGCCAAAAAAGAAGACCGCAA
rnacentral:tRNA from 1 species